rnacentral:rRNA from 1 species
GAUGAACGCUAGCGGCAGGCUUAAUACAUGCAAGUCGAGGGGCAGCAUGAAUGUAGCAAUACAUUUGAUGGCGACCGGCAAACGGGUGCGGAACACGUACACAACCUUCCUAUAAGUGGGGAAUAGCCCAGAGAAAUUUGGAUUAAUACCCCGUAACAUAAUGAUGUGGCAUCACAUUAUUAUUAUAGCUACGGCGCUUAUUGAUGGGUGUGCGGCUGAUUAGAUAGUUGGCGGGGUAACGGCCCACCAAGUCUACGAUCAGUAGCUGAUGUGAGAGCAUGAUCAGCAACACGGGCACUGAGACACGGGCCCGACUCCUACGGGAGGCAGCAGUAAGGAAUAUUGGUCAAUGGACGCAAGUCUGAACCAGCCAUGCCGCGUGAAGGAUUAAGGUCCUCUGGAUUGUAAACUUCUUUUAUCUGGGACGAAAAAAGGCGAUUCUUCGUCACUUGACGGUACCAGAUGAAUAAGCACCGGCUAACUCCGUGCCAGCCGCCGCGGUAAAAC